GUUUUUAAAGCGAAAAGAUCGCAUUAAGUUUCGGCCUUAAUUAUUUGAAAUUAUUUAUUUCUAAAAGCACCA
rnacentral:tRNA from 1 species